rnacentral:rRNA from 1 species
CGUGUAGGCGGUCAGGUAAGUGGAAUGUGAAAUGCCCCGGCUCACCCGGGGACCGGCAUCCCAAACUGCCUGGCUUGAGUAUGGGAGAGGAUGGAGGAAUUCCUGGUGUAGCGGUGAGAUGCGUAGAUAUCAGGAGGAACACCGGUGGCGAAGGCGUCCAUCUGGCCCAAUACUGACGCUGAGGCGCGAAAGCUAGGGGAGCAAACG